GUGAGUAUAGCUCAGUUGGUUAGAGCGCCGGAUUGUGAUUCCGGAGGUCGUCGGUUCAAGCCCGAUUAUUCACC
rnacentral:tRNA from 1 species